rnacentral:rRNA from 1 species
GAUGAACGCUGGCGGCGUGCCUAAUACAUGCAAGUCGAGCGAACGGACGAGAAGCUUGCUUCUCUGAUGUUAGCGGCGGACGGGUGAGUAACACGUGGAUAACCUACCUAUAAGACUGGGAUAACUUCGGGAAACCGGAGCUAAUACCGGAUAAUAUUUUGAACCGCAUGGUUCAAAAGUGAAAGACGGUCUUGCUGUCACUUAUAGAUGGAUCCGCGCUGCAUUAGCUAGUUGGUAAGGUAACGGCUUACCAAGGCAACGAUGCAUAGCCGACCUGAGAGAGUGAUCGGCCACACUGGAACUGAGACACGGUCCAGACUCCUACGGGAGGCAGCAGCAGGGAAUCUUCCGCAAUGGGCGAAAGCCUGACGGAGCAACGCCGCGUGAGUGAUGAAGGUCUUCGGAUCGUAAAACUCUGUUAUUAGGGAAGAACAUAUGUGUAAGUAACUGUGCACAUCUUGACGGUACCUAAUCAGAAAGCCACGGCUAACUACGUG